rnacentral:rRNA from 1 species
UACAGAGGGUGCGAGCGUUAAUCGGAAUUACUGGGCGUAAAGCGUGCGUAGACGGCUAUCUAAGUCGGGUGUGAAAGCCCCGGGCUCAACCUGGGAAUUGCAUUCGAGACUGAAUAGCUAGGGUACGGUAGAGGGAAGCGGAAUUUCCGGUGUAGCGGUGAAAUGCGUAGAUAUCGGAAGGAAUAUCAGUGGUGAAAGCGGCUUCCUGGACCAGUACCGACGUUCAGGCACGAAAGCGUGGGGAGCAAACAGG